AAAGUCGUAACAAGGUUUCCGUAGGUGAACCUGCGGAAGGAUCAUUACCGAGUGCGGCCCCUUCGGGGUGCCAACCUCCCACCCGUGUCUACCGUACCACGUUGCUUCGGCGGGCCCGCCCCCAACCGGGGGCCGUCGGGGGGCAUCUGCCCCCGGGCGUGCGCCCGCCGGAGACCCUCACACGAACACUGUCUGAAGACUGCCGUCUGAGUGGAUUGAUCAAAUCAGUCAAAACUUUCAACAACGGAUCUCUUGGUUCCG
rnacentral:misc_RNA from 1 species